rnacentral:RNase_P_RNA from 1 species
GGGGCAGGUCUGGUCAUCGCUGAAGGAUGAGGAAGCGCUUCUGUGCUUCCGCGUUUUCAGAGGAAAGUCCGGGCUCCGCAGAGCAUGAUGCCGGGUAAUUCCCGGGUGACGUGAGCAGCUCGCUAGAGCUGCUCAGUCAACAGACAGCGCCACAGAAAAGAUACCGCUUGAGCGCCCUCGGGCGUUUGAGUAAGGGUGAAAAGGUGCGGGUAAGAGCCCACCACCCGAAACUUUUGCGGCAACGCACGGGGUACGGCAAGCCUCAUCAGGAGCAAAGUCGAGCAGCGGGCCAUGGGUAAGCUCUGACUCGAUUAGCCCGCGGGUAGACUGCAGGAAGCAGACGGCAACGUCUGGCCUCCAGAUAGAUGAUGGCCCUUCGACAGAACCCGGCUUAGCGACCUGCCCCUUUU